rnacentral:rRNA from 1 species
AUUGAACGCUGGCGGAAUGCUUUACACAUGCAAGUCGAACGGCAGCACGGGGGCAACCCUGGUGGCGAGUGGCGAACGGGUGAGUAAUACAUCGGAACGUGCCCAGUCGUGGGGGAUAACUACGCGAAAGCGUAGCUAAUACCGCAUACGAUCUACGGAUGAAAGCGGGGGAUCGCAAGACCUCGCGCGAUUGGAGCGGCCGAUGGCAGAUUAGGUAGUUGGUGGGGUAAAGGCUCACCAAGCCUUCGAUCUGUAGCUGGUCUGAGAGGACGACCAGCCACACUGGGACUGAGACACGGCCCAGACUCCUACGGGAGGCAGCAGUGGGGAAUUUUGGACAAUGGGCGCAAGCCUGAUCCAGCCAUUCCGCGUGCAGGAUGAAGGCCCUCGGGUUGUAAACUGCUUUUGUACGGAACGAAACGCGCUGAGCUAAUACCUCGGCGUAAUGACGGUACCGUAAGAAUAAGCACCGGCUAACUACGUGCCAGCAGCCGAC